AAGCACUUUGACAGAUCAGAAUGAAGUUGUACGUAAUUCUAUUAGAAAUGCUCCAGAAAACUGUCAAUGGAUAUGUGGAGAUAUUCAAAAGGAAAUUACUAGUUACUUUGCAAAGAUAACUUUAAAAUCCAUUAUUGAAGAAAUUGGAGGUGAUGUGUUUAGUUUGUUGAUUGAUGAGGCUUCCGAUGUGUCCGAUAAAGAGCAAAUGACAGUUGUCUUAAGAUAUCUUAGCAAGCGUGGAUUUAUCAUUGAACGGUUAGUUGGAGUUGUACAUGUGAAGGAAACAUCAGCCAUAUGUCUCAAGGAAUCUCUUCAAAAAUUAUUCACUGAUAUUGGGUUGAGCAUACAACAGGUCAGAGGUCAAUGUUAUGAUGGGGCAAGCAACAUGCGUGGUGAGUUCAAUGGCUUGAAAUCUAAGAUUUUGCAAGAGAAUAGAUCAGCAUAUUAUGUGCAUUGUUUUGCUCACCAGCUCCAGUUGGCCAUUGUGGCAGUAGCAAAGAAGAAUGAAGAUAUUUCAGAUUUUUUCUACAUGAUAUCUGUUUUAUUCAAUGUGGUGGGAGGUUCUUGCAAAAGAAAAGAUAUGAUUAAAGAGAAACAUCGAGAUGAUAUUAGAAAGGCCAUUGGGAGUGGACGAAUUAGCACUGGGACAUGGUUAAAUCAGAUCAAACUCUUCAGAGAGCAGGUGACACACGUUGGGGUUCACACUAUAGAACACUCUCAAGUAUAGUGAAGUUGUUCCCAGCCAUUGUUUCUGUUUUGAAAUAUGUUCAGAAAGAAGGAAAAAAUGAUAAGAAAUCUCAGGCACGUGGUCUUUAGCAUAUUUUGAGACAUUUGAAUUUGUGUUCUAUUUGCAUAUGAUGCUCCAUAUAUUAGGAAGUGCAAAUACUUUGUCUCAAUCUUUACAAAAAAAGGAUCAGGAUAUCCUGAAUGCCAUUUCAUGUGUGCAAUCAACAAGAACUGAGCUGCAAAAAUUAAGAGAAUGGAUGGAACUCACUCCUAGAGAAGGUAUAUUUGUUCUGUGAUGAACAUCACAUUCAAAGGGAAAACAUGCAUGAGGAAUAUGUCAAUAGGCAUGCACCACGAAGGAAAACCAAUAAGACAAAUCUCCAACAUUACAAAAUAGAGGUUCUUAAUUCUGUUAUUGACUGGCAACUCCAAGAGUUUGAUGACCGUUUCAAUGAGGUAAAUUCUGCAUUGCUUCGUCACAUGGCUGCUUUCAAUCCAAAAGACUCUUUUGCUGCCUUUAACAAGGAGAGUUUAGUGAAGUUAGUUGAGUUUUAUCCAGAUGAUUUUGAUUCAGAUAAAUUGGAUGACCUUGGUCAUGAACUUGUUACUUACAUUGACAAUAUGAGAGCAGAUCAAAGGUUUGACAGUUUGGAUGGGAUUGCUGAUCUUGCUAAAUUAAUGGUCGAAACAAAUAAGCAUAUUACUUUUCCUUUGGUCUUUCAUCUUCUAAA